CUACGGGAGGCUCCAGUGGGGAAUAUUGCACAAUGGAGGAAACUCUGAUGCAGCAACGCCGCGUGGAGGAUGACACUUUUCGGAGCGUAAACUCCUUUUAUAUAGGAAGAAGAUGACGGUACUAUAUGAAUAAGCGCCGGCUAACUCCGUGCCAGCAGCCGCGGUAAUACGGAGGGCGCAAGCGUUACUCGGAAUCACUGGGCGUAAAGAGCGUGUAGGCGGAUUAAAAAGUCAGAAGUGAAAUCCUAUAGCUUAACUAUAGAACUGCUUCUGAAACUCUUAAUCUAGAAUAUGGGAGAGGAAGAUGGAAUUUCUGGUGUAGGGGUAAAAUCCGUAGAGAUCAGAAGGAAUACCGAUUGCGAAGGCGAUCUACUAGAACAUUAUUGACGCUGAGACGCGAAAGCGUGGGGAGCAAACAGGAUUAGAUACCCGUGUAGUC
rnacentral:rRNA from 1 species